GGGCCCGAGCGUAGCUGCUAAGCAGCUGCGAGAGCCCUCUUGUUCCUGUAGUUUCCUUCUUUUGUUAUUAGGGCCCGAGCGUAGCUGCUAAGCAGCUGCGAGAGCCCUCUUGUUCCUGUAGUUUCCUUCUUUUGUUAUUAUUAUUAUUAUUUUUCCUCCCCUUUGAACUGGAAAAUGGCCCACUUCCCACUGGCGAAAACUCAUGAAAUUUGGCAGGACGACCGGGCCUGGUGAAAAAUUUGAUAUUCCGAAGUCGCCCAAACAAGAAAAUGCAAAAUGGCUCCAUAGCGCCCCCUAAGGUGAAAAUUCACACUAUUCACUGUCACGCCGGUACGCUUUGUCAAAAUGACACAAAAAUUGACACACACAUGUAUCUCAAUAAGAUCUACAAAAAAGUCAGUGCGGGCGUAUCUGUCAAAUGUACGGUUAAAGGGUUAUUUUGCAUUUUUUGCCGAUCCGCACACAUUGGAAUUUCGCUAACUCCUCCGAAGGCUUUCGUUCCACCGGCACCACAUUUGCUCAGGCCAAUCUACACCCCAUGGCCAUUAAAAGUUAUCAAAAUCAUGACGCUGCACCCCAAGGUUUAGGUUCUAGGGGGCGCCAAAGAUAACACUAAAAUCCACAUAUUUAAAAGUCUUAUAACUUUUUAUUUUUGUCCUCACUGGCCUCCAAGUUUUCUAGGAUGAUGCAAUGUCCAGCCAUCAACACAUUUGUGAAGGAAUUUUUACUCCCCAAAAGAGCGCCCCCCCAUGGCAGGAGAAAAAAGUCCAUUUUUUCUUGUCCCGUAAGGUGAAAAUUCACAUUGUUGAGUGUGACACCUGUACGCUUUGUCAUAUUGACACAAAAUUUGACAAUCACGUGUAUCUCAAUAAGAUCUACGAAAAAGUCAAUGGGUGCGUAUCUGUCAAAUGUACGGUUAGAGGGCUAUUUUGCAUUUUUUGCCGAUUCGCACACAUUGGAAUGUGGCUAACUCCUCCUAAGGCUUUCGUUCCACCGGCACCACAUUUGCUCAGGCCAAUCUACACCCCAUGGCCAUUCAAAGUUGUAAAAAUCAUGACGCUGCACCCCACGGUUUAUGUUCUAGGGGGCGCCAAAGAUGACCAAAAAAUCCACAUUCUUAAAAGAAUCCACAUUCCCCCCCCCCCCCAUGGCAGGAGAAAAAGUCAAGUUUUUCCUGCCCAUCGCUCAAUGGCUCAAUCGCAUCGCUCUCCAGGCAACACCGUAACGAGGAGCAACCUGCCAUUUGGAUAUAUCCCAGCUGUGUUUGUGCCCUCACUCAUGGUCCAGACUUUUUUCAAAUAGGACAUGAAGUUUGUCUGCAGCGAGUGUUUUGGUAGAAACUGCGCCUCCCAUUCAUUAUAAUGGGAAAUGACCACAGACAAGUGCCCACACCAUCUUUGGACCUUGAGUGUGACGCGAUCGGGAGGGGGAGGCGGUCGCGCUGGGGGCAGCACGACGCGGCUCGGGCCCGACAGUGCCCCACCGGGGCCCUAGUUAGGGCCCGAGCCAGCUGCAGAGCAGCCGGGCGUAGAGCCCUAUUAUUCCUGUAUAGGUUUUUCUUUCUUCUUUCUUUCUUUCUUUCUUUCUUCUUAUUUUUCCUCCCCUUUGAAGGGGAAAAUGGCCCACUUCCCACUGGCGAAAACUCAUGAAAUUUGGCAGGACGACCGGGCCUGGUGAAAAAUUCGAUAUUCUGAAGUCGCCCAAACAAGAAAAUGCAAAAUGGCUCAAUAGCGCCCCCAAAGGUGAAAAUUCACACUAUUGACUGUCACGCCUGUACGCUUUGUCAUAUUGACACAAAAAUUGACACACACAUGUAUCUCAAUAAGAUCUACAAAAAAGUCAGUGCGGGCGUAUCUGUCAAAUGUACAGUUAAAGGGUUAUUUCGCAUUUUUUGCCGUUCCGCACACAUUGGAAUUUCGCUAACUCCUCCGAAGGCUUUCGUUCCACCAGCACUACAUUUGCUCAGGCCAAUCUACACCCCAUGGCCAUUGAAAGUUGUACAAAUCAUGACGCUGCACCCCACGGUUUACGUUCUAGGGGGCGCCAAAGAUAACCCACAAAUCCACAUUCUUAAAAAUCUUAUAACUUUUUAUUUUUGUCCUCAUUGGCCUCCAAGUUUUCUAGGAUGAUGCAAUGUCCAGCCAUCAACACAUUUGUGAAGGAAUUUUUACUCCCCAAAACAGCGCCCCCCCCAUGGCAGGACAAAAAAGGCCAUUAGGGCCCGAGCGUAGCUGCUAAGCAGCUGCGAGAGCCCUCUUGUUCCUGCAUGUUUCCUUCUUUUGUUAUUAUUAGGGCCCGAGCCAGCUGCAGAGCAGCCGGGCGUAGGCCCUAUUAUUCCCCAAGUGGUUUUUCUUUGUUUCUUUCUUUCUUUUUUCUUUUUCCUCCCCUUUGAACUGGAAAAUGGCCCACUUCCCACUGGCGAAAACUCAUGAAAUUUGGCAGGACGACCGGGCCUGGUGAAAAAUUUGAUAUUCCGAAGUCGCCCAAACAAGAAAAUGCAAAAUGGCUCCAUAGCGCCCCCUAAGGUGAAAAUUCACACUAUUGACUGUCACGCCUGUACGCUUUGUCAAAAUGACACAAAAAUUGACACACACAUGUAUCUCAAUAAGAUCUACAAAAAAGUCAGUGCGGGCGUAUCUGUCAAAUGUACGGUUAAAGGGUUAUUUCGCAUUUUUUGCCGAUCCGCACACAUUGGAAUUUCGCUAACUCCUCCGAAGGCUUUCGUUCCACCGGCACCACAUUUGCUCAGGCCAAUCUACACCCCAUGGCCAUUAAAAGUUAUCAAAAUCAUGACGCUGCACCCCAAGGUUUAGGUUCUAGGGGGCGCCAAAGAUAACACUAAAAUCCACAUAUUUAAAAGUCUUAUAACUUUUUAUUUUUGUCCUCACUGGCCUCCAAGUUUUCUAGGAUGAUGCAAUGUCCAGCCAUCAACACAUUUGUGAAGGAAUUUUUACUCCCCAAAAGAGCGCCCCCCCAUGGCAGGAGAAAAAAGUCAAUUUUUUCUUGUCCCCUAAGGUGAAAAUACACAUUGUUGAGUGUCACGCCUAUACGCUUUGUCAAAAUGACACAAAAAUUGACACACACAUGUAACUCAAUAAGAUCUACAAAAAAGUCAAAGAGCGCGUAUCUGUCAAAUGUACAGUUAAAGGGUUAUUCCGCAUUUUUUGCCGAUACGCACACAUUGGAAUUUUGCUAACUCCUCCGAAGGCUUUCGUUCCACCGGCACCACAUUUGGUCAGGCCAAUCUACACCCCAUGGCCAUUAAAAGUUAUUCAAAUCAUGAUGCUGCACCCCAAGGUUUAGGUUCUAGGGGGCGCCAAAAAUAACCCAAAAAUCCACAUUCUUAAAUGUUUUAUAACUUUUUAUUUUUGUCCUCACUGGCC
rnacentral:lncRNA from 1 species